GACGUAGGUGGCGAACGUUAUCCGGAAUUAUUGGGCGUAAAGGGUGCGUAGAUGGCCUGAUAAGUUAGCAGUGGGAAGUCGAGGCUCAACCUCGUGGAAGCUGGUAAUACUGUCAGGCUCGAGUGCAGGAGAGGUUAACGGAACUCCAUGUGGAGCGGUAAAAUGUGUAGAUAUAUGGAAGAACACCAAUAACGGCGAAGGCAGUUAACUAUUCUGUUACUGACAUUGAGGCACGAAAGCGUGGGGAGCAAACGG
rnacentral:rRNA from 1 species